AGCAGUGGGGAAUUUUACCAAUGGGGGAGAGCCUGACGUAGCGACACCGCGUGAGAGAAGAAGCCCUUUGGGGUGUAAAGCUCUGUCAUCUGGAACGAAACAAAUGACGGUACCUGCAGAGGAAGCAUCGGCUAAAUACGUGCCAGCAGCCGCGGUAAGACGUAGGGUGCGAGCGUUUUCCUGAUUUAUUGGGCGUAAAGAGUUCGUAGGCGGUUUUUUAAGUCUGAUGUUAAAGACCGGGGCUCAACCUCGGAAAUGCAUUGGAUACUGGCAGACUGGAGUGCAGUAGAGGGGAGUGGAAUUUCCAGUGUAGCGGUGAAAUGCGUAGAUAUUGGGAGGAACACCGGUGGGGUAGGGGCCUUGCUGGGCUGUAACUGACGCUGAGGAACGAAAGCCAGGGGAGCGAAUGGGAUUAGAUACCCCAGUAGUCCCCGCCGUAAACGAUGGAUACUAGGCGUAGUGGGUAUCGACCCCUUCUGUGCCGCAGCUAACGCGAUAAGUAUCCCG
rnacentral:rRNA from 1 species